rnacentral:lncRNA from 1 species
CUUUCCCAUGGAAAUACAGUGCUCAGUCUCAAGAUGAAAACCAGCCUAGGAAAGACCUAGGGACUGGCACAGAAAGUGUGAAAUACCACAUGAGCCCUGUAAGUAAUUUUAAGGAGAAACUUUCCCAUGGAAAUACAGUGCUCAGUCUCAAGAUGAAAACCAGCCUAGGAAAGACCUAGGGACUGGCACAGAAAGUGUGAAAUACCACAUGAGCCCUGUAAGAACUCGGGACAGUAUCACCUAACGCUUGGGAGAAGAAAACUACAAGCAAUGCAUUUUUCUCUCUCCAGAGCUGUUCUGCACACCUCUUGACUGUGAAAGACGCUGGCAUGACCCAUUAGCAGGAUGUUGUGCAAUAUGGUGCUUGUCAUCUGUUUUCAAAGACACAGUGAUGAGAUACAGAGACUGGCACAUCAGCAAGAAAAGUUUUCUUUCUGGGGAGAAAUACAAGCAAACAUCAAGAAAAGAGGAGUCACCGUGACCCAUGCAGUACUCUCCCUGACACAUAGUCGAGGAUCAGAUAGCUCACAGGCAUCUGUCAGAGUAACAUCCAUCCAAUGA